GACGGAGGGUGCAAGCGUUGUGCGGAAUCACUGGGCGUAAAGCGCGUGUAGGCGGUCCGAUAAGUCGAGUGUGAAAGCCCGGGGCUCAACCUCGGAAGUGCACUCGAAACUGCUGGGCUUGAGUACGGGAGAGGGAAGCGGAAUUCCUGGUGUAGAGGUGAAAUUCGUAGAUAUCAGGAGGAACACCGGUGGCGAAGGCGGCUUCCUGGACCGAUACUGACGCUGAGACGCGAAAGCGUGGGCAGCAAACAGG
rnacentral:rRNA from 1 species